AGAGUUUGAUCCUGGCUCAGGAUGAACGCUGGCGGCGUGCUUAACACAUGCAAGUCGAACGAAGCACUGGAGCGGAAUCCCUUCGGGGAGGAAGCGCCUUUGACUGAGUGGCGGACGGGUGAGUAACGCGUGGGUAACCUGCCCCAUACAGGGGGAUAACAGCCGGAAACGGCUGCUAAUACCGCAUGUACAUGCGGGGGCGCAUGCCCUUGGAUGGAAAGCAUUAGCGGUAUGGGAUGGGCCCGCGUCUGAUUAGGCAGUUGGCGGGGUAACAGCCCACCAAACCGACGAUCAGUAGCCGGCCUGAGAGGGCGACCGGCCACAUUGGGACUGAGACACGGCCCAAACUCCUACGGGAGGCAGCAGUGGGGAAUAUUGCACAAUGGGGGAAACCCUGAUGCAGCGACGCCGCGUGGGUGAAGAAGUAUUUCGGUAUGUAAAGCCCUAUCAGCAGGGAAGAAAAAUGACGGUACCUGACUAAGAAGCACCGGCUAAAUACGUG
rnacentral:rRNA from 1 species